rnacentral:rRNA from 1 species
AGUGAACGCUGGCGGUAGGCCUAACACAUGCAAGUCGAACGGCAGCACAGUAAGAGCUUGCUCUUACGGGUGGCGAGUGGCGGACGGGUGAGGUAUACAUCGGAAUCUACUUUUUCGUGGGGGAUAACGUAGGGAAACUUACGCUAAUACCGCAUACGACCUACGGGUGAAAGCAGGGGAUCUUCGGACCUUGCGCGAUUGAAUGAGCCGAUGUCGGAUUAGCUAGUUGGCGGGGUAAAGGCCCACCAAGGCGACGAUCCGUAGCUGGUCUGAGAGGAUGAUUCGGUACACUGGCACAGAGAAAGGAUCCAGACACCGACGGGAGGACGCAGUGGGGAAUAUUGGAGAAGGGGGGCAAGCGGGAUCCAGCCAUACCGAGUGGGUGAAGAAGGCGUUAGGGUGGGAAAGCCCUUUUGUUGGGAAAUAAAAGCAGCAGGUUAAUACCCCGCUGUUCUGACGGUACCCAAAGAAUAAGCACCGGCUAACUUCGUG